AUUGAACGCUGGCGGCAUGCUUUACACAUGCAAGUCGAACGGCAGCACGGGGGCUUGCUCCUGGUGGCGAGUGGCGAACGGGUGAGUAAUGCAUCGGAACGUACCCAGUAGUGGGGGAUAGCCCGGCGAAAGCCGGAUUAAUACCGCAUAUUUCCUGAGGGAGAAAGCGGGGGGACCUUCGGGCCGUCGCGCUACUGGAGCGGCUGAUGUCGGAUUAGCUAGUUGGUGAGGUAAAGGCUCACCAAGGCGACGAUCCGUAGCUGGUCUGAGAGGAUGAUCAGCCACACUGGGACUGAGACACGGCCCAGACUCCUACGGGAGGCAGCAGUGGGGAAUUUUGGACAAUGGGGGCGAACCCUCGAUCCAGCCAUGCCGCGUGAGUGAAGAAGGCCUC
rnacentral:rRNA from 1 species